CAGCCACACUGGGAAUGAGACACGGCCCAGACUACUACGGGAGGCAGCAGUGGGGAAUAUUGGACAAUGGGCGAAAGCCUGAUCCAGCAAUGCCGCGUGAGUGAUGAAGGCCUUAGGGUUGUAAAGCUCUUUUACUAGGGAUGAUAAUGACAGUACCUAGAGAAUAAGCUCCGGCUAACUCCGUGCCAGCAGCCGCGGUAAUACGGAGGGAGCUAGCGUUGUUCGGAAUUACUGGGCGUAAAGAGCACGUAGGCGGCUUAUUAAGUCAGGGGUGAAAUCCCGGGGCUCAACCCCGGAACUGCCCUUGAAACUGGGAAGCUAGAAUCCUGGAGAGGCGAGUGGAAUUCCGAGUGUAGAGGUGAAAUUCGUAGAUAUUCGGAAGAACACCGGUGGCGAAGGCGACUCGCUGGACAGGUAUUGACGCUAAGGUGCGAAAGCGUGGGGAGCAAACAGGAUUAGAUACCCUGGUAGUCCACGCCGUAAACGAUGUAAAAAUAGCUGUCCGGGUUCAUAGAACUUGGGAGGCGCAAGCUAAACGCAUAAAGAAACCCAGCCUGGGGGGAGGAC
rnacentral:rRNA from 1 species